UCUGUCUGUGAUGUCAAGGUUUCUAUUAGG
rnacentral:piRNA from 1 species